rnacentral:rRNA from 1 species
UACAGAGGUCUCAAGCGUUAAUCGGAAUUACUGGGCUUAAAGGGUGCGUAGGCGGACCCGCAAGUGCUUUGUGAAAUCCCACGGCUCAACCGUGGAAUUGCUUGGCAGACUGCGGGUCUUGAGGUUGGUAGGGGUCGCCGGAACUCUAGGUGGAGCGGUGAAAUGCGUAGAUAUCUAGAGGAACGCCAAAGGUGAAGACAGGCGACUGGGCCAAAUCUGACGCUGAGGCACGAAAGCGUGGGGAGCGAACGGG